AACGAACGCUGGCGGCAUGCCUAACACAUGCAAGUCGAACGAGACCUUCGGGUCUAGUGGCGCACGGGUGCGUAACCCGUGGGAACCUGCCCUUAGGUUCGGAAUAACUCCCCGAAAGGGGUGCUAAUACCGGAUAAUGUCUUCGGCCCAAAGAUUUAUCGCCUUUGGAUGGGCCCGCGUUGGAUUAGCUAGUUGGUAGGGUAAAAGCCUACCAAGGCGACGAUCCAUAGCUGGUCUGAGAGGAUGAUCAGCCACACUGGGACUGAGACACGGCCCAGACUCCUACGGGAGGCAGCAGUGGGGAAUAUUGGACAAUGGGCGAAAGCCUGAUCCAGCAAUGCCGCGUGAGUGAUGAAGGCCGUAGGGUUGUAAAGCUCUUUUACCCGGGAUGAUAAUGACAGUACCGGGAGAAUAAGCUCCGGCUAACUCCGUG
rnacentral:rRNA from 1 species